rnacentral:tRNA from 1 species
GGAGAGUUGGCGAAAUUGGUAGCCGCACGGGUUUGCUAAACCCGCAGCUGAAAGGCUGUGUGAGUUCAAGUCUCACACUCUCCGCCA